rnacentral:rRNA from 1 species
UACGUAGGUGGCGAGCGUUAUCCGGAUUUACUGGGUGUAAAGGGCGAGUAGGCGGGCGUGCAAGUCAGAUGUGAAAUUUAUGGGCUCAACCCAUAACCUGCAUUUGAAACUGUGUGUCUUGAGUGAUGGAGAGGCAGGCGGAAUUCCGUGUGUAGCGGUGAAAUGCGUAGAUAUACGGAGGAACACCAGUGGCGAAGGCGGCCUGCUGGACAUUAACUGACGCUGAGGCGCGAAAGCGUGGGGAGCAAACAGG